CGCUUGGAGGGUUUGAUCCUGGCUCAGGACUAGCGCUGGCGGUGUGUCUUAGACAUGCAAGUCGAGCGGGGCGCAGUGUGGUAGCAAUACCGUGCUGCGCUUAGCGGCGAACGGGUGAGUAAUACAGGGGUAACCACCCCCAAGGAGGAGAAUAACCCACCGAAAGGUGGGCUAAUACUCCAUGUGCUGACCGGGAGGCAUCUUCCGGUCAGGAAAGGUGCCGCAAGGUGCCGCCUUGGGACGGGCUCCUGGCCUAUCAGCUUGAUGGCGGGGUAAAGGCCCACCAUGGCUGAGACGGGUAGCUGGCGUGAGAGCGUGACCAGCCACAGGGGAACUGAGACACGGUCCCCACUCCUACGGGAGGCAGCAGUCUAGAAAUUUGGGCAAUGGGCGAAAGCCUGACCCAGCGACACCGCGUGGAGGAUGAAGUCCUUCGGGAUGUAAACUCCUGUCAGGGGGAACGAAGCCCGUCUUUGACGGGUGACGGUACUCCCAGAGGAAGCCCCGGCUAACUACGUGCCAGCAGCCGCGGUAAUACGUAGGGGGCGAGCGCUGUCCGGAUUCACUGGGCGUAAAGGGUGUGUAGGCGGACAGGCGGGUCGAUGGUGAAAGCCCCCGGCUCAACCGGGGAACUGCCGUCGAAACUACCUGUCUUGAGGGCAGGAGAGGGAGCUGGAACUUCCGGUGUAGCGGUAAAAUGCGUGGAUAUCGGAAGGAACGCCGAUGGCGAAGGCAGGCUCCUGGAAUGCCCCUGACGCUGAAACACGAAAGCUAGGGGAGCAAACAGGAUUAGAUACCCUGGUAGUCCUAGCCGUAAACGAUGCACACUGGGCGUGGGGCGUCUUGCCCUGUGCCGUAGCUAACGCGUUAAGUGUGCCGCCUGGGGACUACGGCCGCAAGGUUGAAACUCAAAGGAAUUGACGGGGACCCGCACAAGCGGUGGAGGAUGUGGUUUAAUUCGAUGCUACGCGAAGAACCUUACCUGGGUUUGACAUGCUGGUGGUAGCGACCCGAAAGGGAAGCGACCCGGGAUUUUCCCGGGAGCCAGCACAGGUGCUGCAUGGCUGUCGUCAGCUCGUGCCGUGAGGUGUAUGGUUAAGUCCCACAACGAGCGCAACCCCUGCCCUUAGUUGCCAGCCCGCGAGGGGGCACUCUAAGGGGACUGCCUCCGUCAAGGAGGAGGAAGGUGGGGAUGACGUCAAGUCAGCAUGGCCUUUAUGCCCAGGGCUACACACGUCCUACAGUGGCUGUUACAAUGGGUUGCGACACCGCAAGGUGGAGCCAAUCCUGAAAAGCAGCCAUGGUUCGGAUUGCAGGCUGCAACUCGCCUGCAUGAAGAUGGAAUCGCUAGUAAUCGCAGAUCAGCAUGCUGCGGUGAAUACGUUCCCGGGUCUUGUACACACCGCCCGUCACGCCAUGGGAGCCGGUAAUACCUGAAGUCUCCGUUUUAUCGGGGCCCAAGGUAGGACCGGUGACUGGGGCGAAGUCGUAACAAGGUAGCCGUACGGGAACGUGCGGCUGGAUCACCUCCUUU
rnacentral:rRNA from 1 species